CCUACGGGUGGCAGCAGUGGGGAAUAUUGCACAAUGGGGGAAACCCUGAUCCAGCGACGCCGCGUGAGUGAAGAAGUAAUUCGUUGUGUAAAGCUCUAUCAGCAGGGGAGAAAAUGACGGUACGUGAGUAAGAAGCCCCGGCUAGCUACGUGCCAGCAGCCGCGGUAAUACGUAGGGGGCAAGCGUUAUCCGGAUUUACUGGGUGUAAAGGGAGCGUAGACGGCAGUGCAAGUCUGGAGUGAAAGGCGGGGGCUCAACCCCCGGACUGCUCUGGAAACUGUACGGCUGGAGGGCAGGAGAGGUAAGUGGAAUUCCUAGUGUAGCGGUGAAAUGCGUAGAUAUUAGGCGGAACACCAGUGGCGAAGGCGGCUUACUGGACUGUAACUGACGUUGAGGCUCGAAAGCGUGGGGAGCAAACAGGAUUAGAUACCCUGGUAGUC
rnacentral:rRNA from 1 species